AAAAAGAUAAACCCUGGGUUUCCGUACAAAUGUUUAACUGUCCGUCUUAUAUGAAUUUUUUUUAUAAUUAGUAUUUUCAUUGUUAUUAGAUGAUAAAACAUGAUUAAUACUUUAUGCGUGACUUAUCUUUUUAAUUUUUUUCAUAAUUUUUUCAAAUAAGAUGGACGGUCAAACGUUGAACACGGAAAUCAGGGUUUGUCUUUUU
rfam:Oryza barthii chromosome 9, whole genome shotgun sequence.